GUGUCUUGAAAUGUCUAGAACAGUUUUGUUUUCACAAUCUUGGUUGCCUAGAUGACAUGGAACUAUAACGCACCAAAUGAUGACUACAUUGGUUGAAGUUUCUAGCAAACCAGGUUUGGGAAUAGGCCUAAACAAAAUUUAUUUUAGCCCUUCUCCAAAAUUAUAGUUCUCAAGAUUAUUCAGAGGAAACUAUAACAGUUAACAUCUCUCAUUGGCUAUUGGUUUCUAUUGCCAAUUGGCCUGGUGGAAAGGGAUAUAAGGGUCCAAUGUGUGUGUGUGUAUAUGUGUCUACAAGUUAAUUUUUUACUAUGCAUUUCAUAAGGUUUUCUUAGGCAAAGAGUACUCAGAGGUGCUUUGCCACUUCCUUCCUCUGAAAUAUAGUCCACGUGUAAUAGAUAUAACUUGCUUUCUCAGACCCUCUUAUAGUUUCAUAUACCAUCCAAUCGAUCCGUUUCCACAUUCACUGUAUUUAAAGGAAAACAAAAAAAAAAUGCACCUUAAGAGGCGUGACAUAGAUGUAAUAAAAUAUAUGGCACUAUCUGCCAAUUUUCUGUUUGUCAAAGAAACCUGUUCUCUUUUAUAAGUGUUGUUAAAGCAGUCACUCCUUACAGUAACCUUGCUUCCAUCUAUCAAGCCCUGAGAAACCAUCUGAUUAUUCAAAUCAGAAACAUUGCUUUAUCAUAGAGUCUUGGCCUCACUGCAGCAACUCCUUCAUCAUGCAAGCUCUCCUGGGAUUCCUCUUCUUCUCUGUGCUGUUCAGUACAGUUACUUGUCUGGAAUGUGAGUCUUGCAGUGCUUCUGCCAAGAUGUGUACUGGAAAUACUGUGACUUGCACGGCUGACCAAAACAACUGUGUAAUCACUUUGACCGAAAUAAUAAAAGGUGAAGAGAAGCAGGCAACCUAUAGUGUAGUAAAGAGCUGCGGUCAAACAAGGGUGUGUAAUUAUAUGAUUAAAACUGCUGGAGAUGGGUAUUGUAUUACUACUACAAUUACGUGUAUUCCUCCUCGUCCUACCACCACUACAUCUAAGCCUGGAUCUGCUGCAUCCUCUAUAUCUACAGCAUCGCUCCUCCUUGGCCUCUCAGGGCUCCUACUGAUGAAGAGCCUCCUGGAAUGAAACACUUGCAUCAGCUCACUAAGAAGGAAGGUUCUGGUGUCAUUUCUCAUGCAUGCUUCUCUGGAGUGGCUCAUCAUCCUUCCUUUGAAAGGGGAGCAUUCUCAUUCGCUUCUUUCGUGAUUUA